rnacentral:rRNA from 1 species
AUAUCAAUAAGCGGAGGAAAAGAAACUAACAAGGAUUCCCUUAGUAACGGCGAGUGAACCGGGAAGAGCUCAAAUUUGAAAUCUGGCAGUCUUCGAUUGUCCGAGUUGUAAUCUAUAGAAGUGUUUUCCGUGCUGGACCGUGUCUAAGUCCCUUGGAACAGGGUAUCAAAGAGGGUGACAAUCCCGUGCUUGAUACGACCACCAGUGCUCUGUGAUACACUUUCUACGAGUCGAGUUGUUUGGGAAUGCAGCUCAAAAUGGGUGGUAAAUUCCAUCUAAAGCUAAAUAUUGGCGAGAGACCGAUAGCGCACAAGUA